rnacentral:misc_RNA from 1 species
AAUCCCUCAACCCCUCAGGGGGCUUGGACUUUUGGAGCGUGCUGGUGGUGAUCGUCGGCUCCUCUUUAAAUGCAUCAGCGGAACCCUCGUUCCCCGUUUCGGCGUGAUAGAUCUAUGUUGCGCCACGUAGGGGGGUGGUCAAGUGGUUUUUCCGCUUCCAAUCGUCCUCGGACAAACACCGAAUCUG